GCCUUCGGGAACUGUGAGACAGGUGCUGCAUGGCUGUCGUCAGCUCGAGUUGUGAAAUGUUGGGUUAAGUCCCGCAACGAGCGCAACCCUUAUCCUUUGUUGCCAGCGGUUAGGCCGGGAACUCAAAGGAGACUGCCAGUGAUAAACUGGAGGAAGGUGGGGAUGACGUCAAGUCAUCAUGGCCCUUACGACCAGGGCUACACACGUGCUACAAUGGCGCAUACAAAGAGAAGCGACCUCGCGAGAGUAAGCGGACCUCAUAAAGUGCGUCGUAGUCCGGAUUGGAGUCUGCAACUCGACUCCAUGAAGUCGGAAUCGCUAGUAAUCGUGGAUCAGAAUGCCACGGUGAAUACGUUCCCGG
rnacentral:rRNA from 1 species